rnacentral:rRNA from 1 species
AGGGCAGACGGUGGAUGCCUUGGCUCUCGGAGGCGACGAAGGACGUGAUAAGCUGCGAAAAGCCCGGGGGAGGCGCAAAUAGCCGUUGAUCCCGGGAUAUCCGAAUGGGGCAACCCGGCAGGCUGAAGGCCUGUCAUCCCGAAAGGGAGGCGAACGUGGGGAACUGAAACAUCUAAGUACCCAUAGGAGGAGAAAAUAAACAAUGAUUCCGUAAGUAGUGGCGAGCGAACACGGAAGAGCCCAAACCCAUGUCGUCUAGGCGACACGGGGGUUGUAGGACCACGACGUGGCAAGAAGGAAGGGAAAUGGAACGACUUGGAAAAGUCGGCCAUAGACGGUGAAAGCCCGGUACAUGACUCCCUUACGAAGCCUAGUGGUAUCCUGAGUAGCGCGGGGCACGAGAAAUCUUGCGUGAAGCAGCGGGGCCCAUCCCGUAAGGCUAAAUACUCCCGAGAGACCGAUAGCGAACCAGUACCGUGAGGGAAAGGUGAAAAGCACUUCGAACAGAAGAGUGAAAUAGUUCCUGAAACCGUGCGCCUACAAGCGGUCGGAGCUCGUUAAUGAGUGACGGCGUGCCUUUUGCAUAAUGAACCUACGAGUUGCCUUUGCCGGCAAGGUUAAGUGUGACGACACACGUAUCCGAAGCGAAAGCGAGUCUGAACAGGGCGUAUAGUCGGCAGUGGCAGACGCGAAACCAAGUGAUCUACCCUUGGCCAGGUUGAAGGCUGGGUAACACCAGCUGGAGGACCGCACCAAUAAGCGUUGAAAAGCUUCUGGAUGAGCUGAGGGUAGGGGUGAAAGGCUAAUCAAACUUGGAGAUAGCUCGUACUCCCCGAAAUGCAUUUAGGUGCAGCCUUGCGGGUUACUGAUGUGAGGUAGAGCGACUGAUAAGAUGCGAGGGCUUCACCGCCUAUCAAGUCUUGACAAACUCCGAAUGCGUGUCAGUUCUAUGUCAGGAGUGAGGGCAUGGGUGCUAAGGUCCAUGUCCUAAAGGAGAACAAUCCGGACCAACAGCUAAGGUCCCGAAAUGAAUACUAAGUUGAACUAACGAAGUCAGAUUGCUAAGACAGCUAGGAUGUUGGCUUGGAAGCAGCCAUUCAUUUAAAGAGUGCGUAACAGCUCACUAGUCGAGCGAUCUGGCGUGGAUAAUAAUCGGGCAUAAACGAUCUGCCGAAGCCGUGGAUGUCGCAAGACAUGGUAGGGGAGCAUUCCAUGCCGCGUCGAAGAUGAGGGAUGACCCUUGUUGGAGCGCAUGGAAAAGCAAAUGUAGGUAUGAGUAACGAUAAGGGGGGCGAGAAACCCCCCCGCCGAAAGACCAAGGUUUCCUGAUCAACGCUAAUCGGAUCAGGGUGAGUCGGGACCUAAGGCAAAGCCGAACGGCGCCGCCGAUGGAAGAAUGGGUUAAUAUUCCCAUACUGCCUCAUGGAGUGACGUGGAGACGGAGAAGUGACAGUCCUGCCGGCUGACGGAAUAGCCGGUUGAAGGGUGUAGAUAUUGAUUCCCGUAGGCAAAUCCGCGGGGAGAGUCGAACCUGAGAGUAUACGGAGCGCUUGCGCAACGUAAUAUGGACGUAACCAUGCUCCCGAGAAAAUCCGCUAAACUUAUCCAUGCGGCACCCGUACCGUAAACGGACACACGUGGUCGGGUUGAGAAUACUGAGGCGCUCGAGUGAUUCACGGUUAAGGAACUAGGCAAAUUGACCCUGUAACUUCGGGAUAAAGGGUCCUCGUCGUAAGGCGAGGCGCAGAGAAUAGGUCCAGGCAACUGUUUAACAAAAACACAUGGCUGUGCUAAAUGGAAACAUGAUGUAUACAGCCUGACACCUGCCCGGUGCCGGAAGGUUAAGAGGAGAUGUCAUCCGCGAGGAGAAGCGUUGAAUUGAAGCCCCGGUAAACGGCGGCCGUAACUAUAACGGUCCUAAGGUAGCGAAAUUCCUUGUCGGGUAAGUUCCGACCUGCACGAAUGGUGUAAUGAUCUGGACACUGUCUCAACCGUGAGCUCAGUGAAAUUGUAGUAUCGGUGAAGAUGCCGAUUACCCGCGAUGGGACGAAAAGACCCCGUGAACCUUUACUAUAGCUUUACAUUGAGUUUGGGCAGACGAUGUGUAGGAUAGGCCGGAGGCUUUGAAGCAGGUACGCCAGUAUUUGUGGAGCCGACGUUGAAAUACGGCCCUUCGGUUGUUUGAGUUCUAACUCCUAGUUAGGAGGACACUGUAUGGUGGGUAGUUUGACUGGGGUGGUCGCCUCCAAAAGCGUAACGGAGGCUUCUAAAGGUGCCCUCAGACCGAUUGGUAACCGGUCGCAGAGUGUAAUGGCAUAAGGGCGCUUGACUGGGAGACAUACAAGUCGAUCAGGUAGGAAACUAGAGCAUAGUGAUCCGGUGGUUCCGCAUGGAAGGGCCAUCGCUCAAAGGAUAAAAGGUACUCCGGGGAUAACAGGCUGAUCAUUCCCAAGAGCUCAUAUCGACGGAAUGGUUUGGCACCUCGAUGUCGGCUCGUCACAUCCUGGGGCUGGAGAAGGUCCCAA